UAACCUGCCCAAGAGACUGGGAUAACACCUGGAAACAGAUGCUAAUACCGGAUAACAACACUAGACGCAUGUCUAGAGUUUAAAAGAUGGUUCUGCUAUCACUCUUGGAUGGACCUGCGGUGCAUUAGCUAGUUGGUAAGGUAACGGCUUGCCAAGGCAAUGAUGCAUAGCCGAGUUGAGAGACUGAUCGGCCACAUUGGGACUGAGACACGGUCCAAACUCCUACGGGAGGCAGCAGGC
rnacentral:rRNA from 1 species